AAGAUAACUAUGUUGAAUAAAAUAUAAGAGACUUUGUAAAAUUUCAUUGUAAAUUGGGCGUUUAGUUGUGGGUGGAAAUGCUAUAAUUUGAGGGGAAACAAUCUGCUUCUUCGAUUUCUCCGCUCUGAGAGAUUUCAGAAAUCCCAAAUUCUUGUUUCGAGGUUUGAAGUCGGUGUUCAGCGGAUUUUCCCCAUUUUGUUUUGAGUGGCGAUCUAGCGAAUGACGGGCGAUCUCGGUUUUCUUAUCCGAUCAAUCUUUUGAACUCGAUUUAUUUUUUUGUUGUCGUUGUGGCUCGCAUUUUUAGAGCAACAACUGAUAUAUUCGUAGAGGAGUGGGAUAAGAUUCUUGAUUGUGUCUGGGCCUGAAAGUGACUUCUGAGCUUUUGCAAAUAGCUUGAGUGAACUUUGUUUGGAUGCUUUCUGGGUUCUGAGUAAUUGGAGAAGAAAUUUUGGAGAACUUUCAUAUUGAUCGUUUGAGAUCUAGAUAGGAGUUUUCGUAGUUUUUUCUUUUUACUUUUAUUUAUUUAUUUAUUUAUUUUUAAUUUUCCAUAUGGAGGUUACUGAUCAAACAGGCCCCAUCAGCCACUCCUUUCCAUUUUGAGAUUCUACCUGUAAAUUUUAUGGGGAAAACCUCUUAGUUUCCUUAUUAAAUUUUCCCCCAAAAGUUUUUCACUCGUCUGGAGCAGAACCGAUGGCCGUGUCUUUCAGCCGUUUUUCAUUGUGGUUUUGGAAGGGGAAGGAGAAAGAGUCUGUCGCAAAUGGGGCGCCUUCAAAUUCUUCCUCCGAGGUUGGUACUGGUCUGAGAGAACCGGAGAGUCUCAAGUUGAAGAGGGUGGACUUGGGUUCAUCUUCAAAGAAGGUCAAGAACCAGAAAUGGCGAAGUAAGAAAGAAACAACGAGGAUUGACUGGGAAUACGAUUUUCUGAUUGUACCACCUGGCGGUGAUGACAUGCAAAUGCCUGACUCUGCUGAUGAGGCCGAUUGGUCUAUUGGUUGGUUGGAGCCUCACGGUCCUGGCUUUCAGAGUGAUGAUAGUUUUGCCGUUCUGGUCCCUUCCUAUAGCAAUCGUUGCAAAGAGGUGGUGGAGGGUUCAAACGUCGAGCUUUUGGCUGCCAUAAAAAACCUUCAACAUGAAUUCUCACCUGAGAGCAAGAAGUAUAUGGAACUGUGGCUUUCUUCUUCCCUGCAAAUCUCGGAAACUUGAUGUGCUUUCGGCGACGAUGAUGAAGGGCAGGUUCUCUGAUUACCGCAAAGUUCAACGUCAUCUUGAGCUGAAGUUUACAAAUUAGACGAACUCAAGUCUUGUUUUGUGCAUAUCGUGUAAACUUGCGUUACAUUCGCCUCAUCUUCAAGGCAUUGCAAGUCUGCAAACACGUGGGGGAGGUUUUCAAAAUUGACCGUGUAUUUCGAUUGGAAAAAGAUUCAAUCACGGAGAUUACUCGUUCUGGAAAUGCUACCUGGAACUAAUUUGGAUUCGUCUGUUCCAGUAAUGCAAUGAGGAGGAGUGAAGAUUCUGGCGAGUCUCGCCGACUCUUCCACCAGUUGAGAAAUUUGUUUGUCGUGCUGUUUCGGACUCACAAUCCAGUCAAAUCAACGAAAGCACCAAAACCUGACAGAGAUCUUCCCCGUGAUUAAUCGAAAUUUAGAUGUGAAUGAGAAGAACAAAAAGGAGCGAAUGGAAUUACCAAAUUUCUAGCUCCGAUGGUGCAGAAGCGAUUAACGACAAUGAUAAGGACGAGGUCGGUUUCACGUCACGGGACAAAACGAAAGGUUGUCGACUCACCGGAAGACGAGAGUCAGGGAGGGAGAGGACAUUGGUGACGUUGAGACGACGCCUAAUUGGGAGCUGUUUUUGUUUUUGUUUUUGUUUUUGUUUUUUCGAUUCACUCAAUAGAUAAUUUUCUUACAAAAACAAAAUACGUCAUUGUCUCUAUCAAUAUCCAAUCUUAUUAUUCUAUUUACGCAAUCUUAUUAUUAUAUUUACUUCUGUAAGAAAGUAAGAUUUCCAGACCUCAAAAGGCAUCAUAUUCAUCCAAAAACCGCAGCAGAGAAGCGAUUUUUAGCUGCCCCGACUUGUUUAUCCAAAAACAGGUCCAUCGCUGCAAGUCAACCACCGAUUGUUGAGUUUCAGUCUCCGCCAUGUGUAACGGCCACCACCGAUCUUUGUUCAGAGGUACCAUUUCUCCUAACCAGACCUCCGUACCGGAAAACGGCGACGCUUCCGUUGUGGACAAUCUACGGGGUCGAUUAGCGGAAACAGAGUCGCGGCUGGCUCAAGUUAGGGCUCGAGAGGCGGCGCUCAGCCGACUCUUGGAGGAAAUGAAACGAUUAGUUUGUGUGAUGGAGAUCCUCGAGAACUACCUGAAACGGCGGUACAGAGACCGCCAAGAAUAUGUGGUUCGUCUCCUCGCUCCUGUAUCUCGAAAAUAGAAAUUCCUCUUCUUCAUCGCUGUCUGUAAUCUUAGCGGUACCAACCGAAAACUCGUUUUGAUUACUUGCUUCUUCGUUCUUCUUAUUCGCAAUUCUUGUUGACUAUAUUCUCCACCAAAUCUAUGGAUUUAUUUAUUCGCUCUUGAUUUCA